UGAUGUGGGCAGCAGGAGGGGGCAGCCAGCCCUGCCUAACCUCUCCAUUUGCACAGAGCAGGGGGUGAGUGCCUCUCCCUGAUGGCCAUCCCUUUCAAUGCUUUAAAUAGCUCUCCUUGACACAAGGCAAUGAAAAUGGCUCACUGACAAGUUUCUCCCAGCCCCGUGGCUAUGAGGUCUGUUCUCUAAAGAAAAAUAGAUGUGGAGACCAUUUGGCUUGAAACCCCUUAAGCAAGUGGAUAAAAUUAAUCAGCUGUCUUUUAACUCUGAUUCAUUUUUCCUUUAAUUCAAUUUACCAAAAUGUGUGGGCAGAGCCUGAGCCUCUGGGCAUAUUAACAUUAAUAAAACACAAUUAAGCAAAUGUUAUUAUGUUGCCAGCAACAAAAAGAAUGCCCCUGAGUGUACAACUUCCCCUUGCUGUAAUAAAUAUGCAGACAUGAGAACUGUGCCUUGCAACCCGUUGCUUAAACAGCUUUAAAAAACCAAAAUACCCACUUUGGUGAAUACAAAGAAGCCAUCGGGAGUAGACCAAAAGUGAACGCACCGAGGCCUUUUGCUGGAAGAGAAGGCAUGAGAGGAGCAGUGCGCCACAGUCAAAACUCCACCCUCAGCAAAAAGAACAGAGGAACAAAAGCAGCGAGGUGCAGCAAGGAUUGGAACAAGGCAGGUUGAGGUCAGAGAUUUCCCACUGGCUUCCAGCUGCCAGGAGAGCCACACUACCGAGCGGAGUGCCAAGGGAGAGGCUCCAAAGUUUGCUUAUGGAGGUUUGGGGAGGUUGUUUCCAGGUCCAAUCUCCUGCUGGCGGGAGGACGCUGAGAAGUGCAGCUGACAGAUGGGUGUGCUUGCAGCCAAUCUCCCUGCGGUGCCCUGGCAAUGUACGGUGCAGCGCAGUGGAAAAGCACCGUUCAUGGAACAGACUGGAAACGAGAGCACUGACAGUGAGCUGUACUUGGACCAGCUCAGCCAAGCUGUAUUUCUGCACUGCUUAUAAAACCAGAAUUCAAUUUAUACGUGGAGUUCCAGAGUAUCAUCAGGUAGAAAAUAACAACAUGGUCCUAAAUCCUCUUCCCUCCUCUUCACGCAGUCAUAGGGGAGGAUGCUGCAUUACCCCUCGAUGCUAUGGGUGAAUUUCCUUAAGUUUUGUAAGCUGCCAUUUGCAUCCUUUCUUUCCCCUUUUCUAUCACCACAGCUUAUGACAUGUUAACGUUGGUGACAUUGUUCCCAGGUCCAUGGGAUGCCAGUGGGCAUGUCCAUCUUGCCUGGCGCUGCUGCAGUGAAGGACUGCAAACCCACAUGUGCAUUCACGUCUGUAAUGGUUCAGAGACUCCAGAAGAUCAUAUUAAAUUAAAUUAAGGAGAGUAAAAUGUGUAUCAGGGGCAAUAUGAGGUGAUGCUUCAUUUCCAGUGUCCCAACUUGUUAAAAUAAAAAGCAUUCAUUCCAGUUGAAUAUUUAUCACUAAAUUUGAAGCAAAAGUAAAAAUGCCCUUUGGUUUCUCUGCAAGAAAAGUAAAGCCUCAUUGAAAUCUCACCACGGAGGAAUAUUUUUAACAUACAGAAAGUUUCCUGUUUUUAAAGGCAGUAAUGCAAAUUUGAAGUAAGACAAUGUAAAUUAUAGAGUGACUUCAAUGAGCUAUUUUGUGACCUUGCGAUCUUUAGAGCUAUUGAAGGGAGUCAACCGUGCUUCUGGUGGGUGGCUGCGCAUGGAACCGAAGGGAAAUAUGUUGUGGGGGUGAGGGUGCCUGGCUGCUGUGAUGCAUAAGUGACGAUUUAGGGUUAGUGAGGAUGUCUGUGUUGCCUUAGUGAUGGCUUCCUGGGAUUUUUUUGGUGGCGUUCACAAGAACUCGAACUGGGGCUUUGUUUUGCAAAUCCAAUGGUGGGGCGUGGGCAAAUCACCCAUAUUUCCCUCUGCUGACUGACUGCCUCUGGUUGCUUCAUCUGAAUCCUGCUCAGUUUAGCUCAUAAAAACCUCUGUUUAUUGAAGUCUCCAGAACUGAGUACUGUAGCUUUUCUGGAUGGGAAUGGGAUGAGGCAAUACACAAACCCAAGAAUCCUUGUGUUUAUUUUGUAUUUAAGAACUCGUCCAAGCCAGCAGCCAGCAUCUGCCACUGCUUCUGUCUGCAUGAGCAGCGGUUACCUUCAGCAUGGACUCGCUGGCUCCUUCAGGCAGUAUGCUGGUAAUGGAAAGAAGCCUCAAACUGUUGUGUCCUGAGACAGCAGCCAUCCCUGCUGCCUUCUCCAAUGGGUCUGAUGCCAUGAGUGUGGGUGGCAGGCAGGUCCCCAGGAGCAGCCCCAGUGCCUGUGGAUCAUUGCAGCACAGCUAGCCUGGCCUGAAAGGCAUCCAUCCAGCUCUUCAGCUAUUAUUAACAAAG
rnacentral:lncRNA from 1 species